AUCAAAUAAUGCUCAUCUAAACGAUGCAGAUAUGCACGAGUAAUCCUCGGAGUAACCACAUACAGAAUUAUUCCAUAUGGACUUGGAUCACUUUUCCAUUGAACCAAGCGAAUACGAGUUUUAUUUUAUCUAACAAACUUGCUACAAAUUAUUUUUCUUUGUUUUGUCUGUUAAUCAGUUAAUGUCUAUACAUAUAACUAUUGAUAAAAACUUCUUACGA